CUGGGCUUGACAUGUGCCUGACCGCCAUGGAAACAUGGCUUCCCUUCGGGGCAGGUUCACAGGUGGUGCAUGGCUGUCGUCAGCUCGUGUCGUGAGAUGUUGGGUUAAGUCCCGCAACGAGCGCAACCCCCGUCGCAUGUUGCCAGCAUUUAGUUGGGGACUCAUGCGGGACUGCCGGUGACAAACCGGAGGAAGGUGGGGAUGACGUCAAGUCAUCAUGCCCCUUAUGUCCAGGGCUACACACGUGCUACAUUGGCGCAUACAGAGGGCUGCGAUACCGCGAGGUGGAGCGAAUCCCUUAAAGUGCGUCUCGGUUCGGAUUGCAGGCUGAAACUCGCCUGCAUGAAGGCGGAGUUGCUAGUAAUCGCGGAUCAGCAUUGCCGCGGUGAAUACGUUCCC
rnacentral:rRNA from 1 species